CGGAAACAUGACAUCGGGAGGAACUGAAAGCAUACUAUUGGCUGUGAAAUCAACUCGUGACUAUAUGAAAUCCAAGAAGGGAAUUAGAAAACCUGAAAUGAUAAUACCUGAGUCUGCACAUUCAGCAUAUGAUAAGGCUUCUCAAUAUUUUAAUAUCAAGCUGUGGCGUGUCCCUGUGGAUAAAGAAUUCAAAGCAGAUGUCAAAGCUAUUCGAAAAUUUAUCAACAGGAAUACUAUCUUGAUCGUUGGAUCUGCGCCUGGGUUUCCUCAUGGAAUCAUUGAUCCGAUUGUUGAACUUGGGAAAUUAGCUUCUAGCUUUGGUAUUUGUCUGCAUGUUGACUUUUGUCUUGGCGGCUUUGUGUUGCCAUUUGCGCGUAAGCUUGGG
rnacentral:misc_RNA from 1 species